rnacentral:rRNA from 1 species
GGCGAACGGGUGAGUAACACGUGAGUAACCUGCCCUUCACUCUGGGAUAACUCCGGGAAACCGGUGCUGAUACUGGAUAUGACUCCAACCUGCAUGGGUAUGGGGUGGAAAGAUUUAUCGGUGGAGGAUGGACUCGCGGCCUAUCAGCUUGUUGGUGGGGUAAUGGCCUACCAAGGCGACGACGGGUAGCCGGCCUGAGAGGGUGUCCGGCCACAUUGGGACUGAGAUACGGCCCAG